rnacentral:rRNA from 1 species
GACGAACGCUGGCGGCGUGCUUAACACAUGCAAGUCGAACGGAAAGGCCCUGCUUUUGUGGGGUGCUCGAGUGGCGAACGGGUGAGUAACACGUGAGUAACCUGCCCUUGACUUUGGGAUAACUUCAGGAAACUGGGGCUAAUACCGGAUAGGAGCUCCUGCUGCAUGGUGGGGGUUGGAAAGUUUCGGCGGUUGGGGAUGGACUCGCGGCUUAUCGGCUUGUUGGUGGGGUAGUGGCUUACCAAGGCUUUGACGGGUAGCCGGCCUGAGAGGGUGACCGGCCGCAUUGGGACUGAGAUACGGCCCAGACUCCUACGGGGGGCAGCAGUGGGGAAUAUUGCACAAUGGGCGGAAGCCUGAUGCGGCAACGCCGCGUGCGGGAUGACGGCCUUCGGGUUGUAAACCGCUUUCGCCUGUGACGAAGCGUGAGUGACGGUAAUGGGUAAAGAAGCACCGGCUAACUACGUG